AGGGAUAACAUUUGGAAACGAAUGCUAACACCCCAUAUGCCUUUAAGACAAAAGUCUGCAAGGGAAAUAUUUAUAGCUCUAGGAUCGGCCUGUACGGUACCAGCUAGUUGGUGAGGUAAUGGCUCACCAAGGCAAUGACGCCUAACUGGUUUGAGAGGAUGAUCAGUCACACUGGAACUGAGACACGGUCCAGACUCCUACGGGAGGCAGCAGUGGGGAAUAUUGCACAAUGGGGGAAACCCUGAUGCAGCAACGCCGCGUGGAGGAUGACACAUUUCGGUGCGUAAACUCCUUUUAUAUCCCAAGAUAAUGACGGUAGGAUAUGAAUAAGCACCGGCUAACUCCGUGCCAGCAGCCGCGGUAAUACGGGGGGUGCAAGCGUUACUCGGAGUCACUGGGCGUAAAGAGCGUGUAGGCGGGUUAAUAAGUUUGAAGUGAAAUCCUAUGGCUCAACCAUAGAACUGCUUUGAAAACUGUUAACCUAGAA
rnacentral:rRNA from 1 species